UCGAGAUUUUCUAAAAUCACCAUCUCUGUUGUGCCGUAAUGCCUGUUUCCAAGCUGUGCAUUUACUGCUCAGCUAACAAAUAUCGAAUCCUCAGUUUUUUCUGUUACUUAUUACGUUAGUUAAUUACUUUUUGUUACAGUUCACGUGACAAUAGGACACCUGACGAUUUAAUGAAAAUCCACAUCAGGUAGCUUUAUGCAACAAUAUUUGGACAACUAUUGAAUCUGGCGUAGAAUAACCACUCUUUAAGAGCGAGCGGAUGGUUCAUUAGUUAAUUGGAAUCUUUUUGAUGUUCAUCCUGAUUAAAGCUCUUCGGAUUUUUUCCAACCCGGAUUCCACAUGUUUCAAGUUUUGAACUAUCCAUGAGGUGCGAUUUGCUCCGAGCCCGAUGAUCCUGAAGGCACCGCUGAGCAAAACCCCGCAGGAUGAGACACGGCUCCUGGUCGAGGGCGGACAGCGUGGACAGCGCCUUCCGUUCUGGAGGACGCAACCUGGCAAACUCGCUCUCCUCCUCAUCACCCUCGCUGUCAUAUGUCUCCUCUACCUCUAUGCGCCCGUCUGGGCGUCUGGGCCCGUCGGGGGGGAGACGACUCCGAGACCGAUGUCGUCCUCUAUCAGCCGGCAACGCCACCGUCGAAACGCCUUCAGGGGAGCCGCCCCCUCACCCUUUGGACCUCCAGCAGAACAAGCCUGAUGUCGUCAAGUACCUCAAGAACAACUUGGUAAAAGACCGCUACGUAAAAGGCUUCGACAUCGAGAACCGUGACCUAUGCCCAGAAUCGGGCUCCAACUUAAAGGUUCUGAUCCUGGUUUCUACCGGGAGGGAAAAUUACGGGAAACGGAUGGGCAUCAGACACACGUGGGGUCACUACGCCCAUCGUAAGGACAUCAGUCUGGGUUUUCUCGUCGGCAGAGGCAAGCAGACGGCGCACGACUCUAGGAUUCACGAGGAACACAAGUCCACGGAGAUAUCAUUCUUGGGAGGUUCGUGGAUACGUACGCCAACCUCACCCUCAAGACGACCGCCAUGCUGGAAUGGUCAACGACCUUCUGCCCGGAGGCGAGGUACCUUCUCAAGGCGGACGACGACGUCUUCGUCAACGUGCCCAGGAUCCUCCAACUCACCGAGGAGAAGAAAGACGAGACCCGGGCCAUCUUCGGGCGCCUCUUCAUGCGAUGGCAGACCCCGCGGACUCCGACUUCAAGCACUACAUCCCCCCGCAGGAGUACGCGCCCUCCAUCCUGCCCGACUACGUCCACGGCCCGGGCUACCUCAUCACCGGCGACAUCAAGAAGGAUCUCUACGAGAUGGCGCUGGCGACGCCGUUCUUCCGCCUCGAGGACUGCUUCUUCACCGGGUUCGUCGCCACCGCCAUCGGGGCGCGCAAGAUAGGCGUCGACUGCUCCUUCGAGCUGAAGGAGAAGACGUGCAAGCUCAAGACCGACAUGUGGAUCGUCGCCAAGACGACGCCGCAGUUGUUCGACCUGUACAAGAGGCAUCUCGAGGGCCGAGUUACUUGUUAUGGAGGAGAGAAUGGUCGGUAUGGUAGGUACGGGAGAAGAUCCUGAGGAUUGACUUAAGGUGAUUCGAUGGACGCCAUUUUUUGCGUCAGAGCGAUGUGCGAUAUAUCACAUCGAUUUGUUCCAUGCCACCACACUGUUGAACAUCAACCAUGUAGGUAAGUCAACAGUAGAAUGCUGGAGUCCCGAAAGUAAAAGCUUCCGCCAUGGCCAACAUACUAUUGGAGGGUCUCUUGUCUCUGGUCGAAUCACCUUAGCGCUGUCUCCACUCGUCAAAAUGGCGUCAAAAUGGAAGCUCAAGUGAAUCGAUUUCAACGAUAGGUGGCUCAAAGUCGGGACUUGAUGCGAUUGAUGACUGUUGCAAUUCAAAAUAGAGCGGCAUAACUCUUCUGUGAUCUACGAUCGUUGAUCAAAAAGCCGAGAUCACACGGAGGCGAAAAUGGCACAUCGGUGCUUUUGUUGAGUGUUGAUGCCAGAAUCUAGAUACAGUUGGCCACGCUAUUUUCAGUAAUCAACAGUCAUCAGCGGAAUCGAUGAGUCAUUUUCACGAAAAUCGGCUGUCGUGUGAUCUCGGCUCAAAAGAGUCGUGCCGCUCUAUUUUGAAUUGCAACAGUCAUCAAUCGCAUCAAGUCCCGACUUUGAGCCACUUAUCGUUGUAAUCGAUUCACUGGAGCUUUCAUUUUGACGCCAUUUUGACGAGUGGAGACAGCGCUAAGGUGAUUCGACCAGAGACAAGAGACCCUCCAAUAGUAUGUUGGCCAUGGUGGAAGCUUUUACUCUCGGGACUCCAGCAUUUUACUGUUGACUUACCUACAUGGUUGAUGUUCAACAGUGUGGUGGCAGUUUCGUUUUGCAAAAUAGCCCAAAAUGACCGAUGUUUGGGAAACUUGUUAAUGCCACUCAAAAAGCUGAGUUCAGCACGUGUCAGCAUAAAAUAAACUAUUUUCAUCGUACAAACAUUACUUUGACUUUUCGUCUCUUUAAGUUUCUUUACAUCCCCCAAUUUUUGCUUGACCGUGACGUAUCUCGGUAUUUGAUUCAUCCUGUCAUCAGGUUAAAAGUGUCUCGUUUUUUCGAACCAACGAUUAAUGAUUUGAAUUUCAUACAUACCUUUAAUUGCAAAAUUGAAAACUUAAUUAAUUGCAAAAUUAAUUGCAAAACGGUGGCAAUACUGCCACGCUGAGGCAAAACGCUAUAUGAACAUUCAGGUUUUGCC
rnacentral:lncRNA from 1 species